rnacentral:rRNA from 1 species
GAGUUUGAUCGUGGCUCAGAUUGAACGCUGGCGGCAGGCCUAACACAUGCAAGUCGAGCGGAUGACGGGAGCUUGCUCCUUGAUUCAGCGGCGGACGGGUGAGUAAUGCCUAGGAAUCUGCCUGGUAGUGGGGGGACAACGUUUCGAAAGGAACGCUAAUACCGCAUACGUCCUACGGGAGAAAGCAGGGACCUUCGGGCCUUGCGCUAUCAGAUGAGCCUAGGUCGGAUUAGCUAGUUGGUGGGGUAAAUGGCUACACCAAGGCGACGAUCCGUAACUGGUCUGAGAGGAUGAUCAGUCACACUGGAACUGAGACACGGUCCAGACUCCUAC